rnacentral:misc_RNA from 1 species
UCCGGGUUGACCCCGGCAGUCUCCCAUGAGUCCCCAACAUAACUUGCUGGCAACAUGGAACGAGGGUUGCGCUCGUUGCGGGACUUAACCCAACAUCUCACGACACGAGCUGACGACAGCCAUGCACCACCUGCACACCAACCACAAGGGAAGCCCUAUCUCUAGGGAUGUCUGGUGCAUGUCAAACCCAGGUAAGGUUCUUCGCGUUGCAUCGAAUUAAUCCACAUGCUCCACCGCUUGUGCAGGCCCCCGUCAAUUCCUUUGAGUUUUAACCUUGCGGCCGUACUCCCCAGGCGGAUGACUUAGUGCGUUAGCUGCGCCACCCAGGCACCAAGUGCCCGGACAGCUAGUCAUCAUCGUUUACGGCGUGGACUAC